CUCUGCGCAUCCCCGAGUGUCUGCCUGUGGGGGCUGAGCCUCCGAAGCAGGGCUGGGGUGGGCUGCUACUCGGCCUGGGGCUAGCCACAGUUUUCAUUACUACUGCUGUGUGACACGGUUCAAGUCAGCAAGUGUGAUGCCUCCUGGACCUGGUUCUUGGCAGUUCCUGGACCCAGAACGCUAGAAGUAAUCCACCGGAAGUGGAAUCUUGCCGCGAACCACCCAGAACUGCUCAGAAAGCGGACCCUGCACUUGACCCGCCCGCCCUUCUCCAGUAAUGUCACCUUAUGACAUCGCCGUCCGCGGCGCGAGCACGCCGGUGAGCCUCUCGCAUGAAAGAAGACGACGUCUCCAGACCAAACACCACCUUUGUGACAGCGAACAGCACCCCUUCUGAUGCAAGUAUCUUUCUAGCUGCUAAUAACUAUCAACUGUGAUCACAGCCUUCCAAGCUGGAAUAACGUAUCUAUAUAUAUACCACCUAUACCAUACCAGCUAACCGAGCUUCCCACACAUGGACUGGCAAGAUGCAGGCGGCAGAUACCAGCUACGGCGGCGGCAGCAUUCCUACCUAAGCGUCCCCGCCCAGCAGGGUGGUCGGGGCCGG